AGAGUUUGAUCCUGGCUCAGAUUGAACGCUGGCGGCAGGCCUAACACAUGCAAGUCGAACGGUAACAGGAAGAAGCUUGCUUCUUUGCCGACGAGUGGCGGACGGGUGAGUAAUGUCUGGGAAACUGCCUGAUGGAGGGGGAUAACUACUGGAAACGGUAGCUAAUACCGCAUAACGUCGCAAGACCAAAGAGGGGGACCUUCGGGCCUCUUGCCAUCGGAUGUGCCCAGAUGGGAUUAGCUUGUUGGUGGGGUAACGGCUCACCAAGGCGACGAUCCCUAGCUGGUCUGAGAGGAUGACCAGCCACACUGGAACUGAGACACGGUCCAGACUCCUACGGGAGGCAGCAGUGGGGAAUAUUGCACAAUGGGCGCAAGCCUGAUGCAGCCAUGCCGCGUGUAUGAAGAAGGCCUUCGGGUUGUAAAGUACUUUCAGCGGGGAGGAAGGGAGUAAAGUUAAUACCUUUGCUCAUUGACGUUACCCGCAGAAGAAGCACCGGCUAACUCCGUGCCAGCAGCCGCGGUAAUACGGAGGGUGCAAGCGUUAAUCGGAAUUACUGGGCGUAAAGCGCACGCAGGCGGUUUGUUAAGUCAGAUGUGAAAUCCCCGGGCUCAACCUGGGAACUGCAUCUGAUACUGGCAAGCUUGAGUCUCGUAGAGGGGGGUAGAAUUCCAGGUGUAGCGGUGAAAUGCGUAGAGAUCUGGAGGAAUACCGGUGGCGAAGGCGGCCCCCUGGACGAAGACUGACGCUCAGGUGCGAAAGCGUGGGGAGCAAACAGGAUUAGAUACCCUGGUAGUCCACGCCGUAAACGAUGUCGACUUGGAGGUUGUGCCCUUGAGGCGUGGCUUCCGGAGCUAACGCGUUAAGUCGACCGCCUGGGGAGUACGGCCGCAAGGUUAAAACUCAAAUGAAUUGACGGGGGCCCGCACAAGCGGUGGAGCAUGUGGUUUAAUUCGAUGCAACGCGAAGAACCUUACCUGUCUUGACAUCCACAGAACCUUGUAGAGAUACGAGGGUGCCUUCGGGAACUGUGAGACAGGUGCUGCAUGGCUGUCGUCAGCUCGUGUUGUGAAAUGUUGGGUUAAGUCCCGCAACGAGCGCAACCCUUAUCCUUUGUUGCCAGCGGUCCGGCCGGGAACUCAAAGGAGACUGCCAGUGAUAAACUGGAGGAAGGUGGGGAUGACGUCAAGUCAUCGUGGCCCUUACGACCAGGGCUACACACGUGCUACAAUGGCGCAUACAAAGAGAAGCGACCUCGCGAGAGCAAGCGGACCUCAUAAAGUGCGUCGUAGUCCGGAUUGGAGUCUGCAACUCGACUCCAUGAAGUCGGAAUCGCUAGUAAUCGUGGAUCAGAAUGCCACGGUGAAUACGUUCCCGGGCCUUGCACACACCGCACGUCA
rnacentral:rRNA from 1 species